rnacentral:rRNA from 1 species
UACGAGUGCCUCAAGCGUUGUCCGGAAUUAUUGGGCGUAAAGCGCACGUAGGCGGUCUGGCAAGUCGGAUGUGAAAGCCCUAGGCUCAACCUAGGAAGUGCAUUCGAAACUACCAGGCUUGAAUACCGGAGAGGAUGAUGGAAUUCCCGGUGUAGAGGUGAAAUUCGUAGAUAUCGGGAGGAACACCAGUGGCGAAGGCGAUCAUCUGGACGGAUAUUGACGCUGAGGUGCGAAAGCGUGGGGAGCAAACAGG